AACGAACGCUGGCGGCAGGCUUAACACAUGCAAGUCGAGCGCACCGCCAGGGGACCGGCAGACGGGAGAGUAACGCGUGGGAACGUACCCUUAUCUUCGUGAUCGCUCCGUGAAACUGGAAUUAAUACCGAAUGUGCCCUUUGGUGGAAAGAUUUAUUUUAUAAGGAUCGGCCCGAGUUGGAUUAGCUGGUUGGUGGGGUUAAGGCCUACCAAGGCGACGAUCCAUAGCUGGUCUGAGAGGAUGAUCAGACACAUUUGAACUGAGACACGGCACAAACUCCUACGGGAUGCGGGAGUGGGGAAUAUUGGACAAUGGGCGCAAUCCUGAUCCAUCCAUGACGGGUGAGUGAUGAAGGCAUUAGAGUUGUAAAGCGCUUUCACCGGAGAAGAUAAUGACGGUAUCCGAAGAAAAAGCCCCGGCUAACUUCGUG
rnacentral:rRNA from 1 species